AGGGAGGGUAGAGGGGCCUGCUGGGAUUGGUCCGGGGAACUGGGAAAGGCUCUGGGCGGGGUUCCGCCGCCCCGCGGAACGCCGGGAAGGGGUCACUUCCAGAGGAAGGUUCCGGUUCCGGUUCAGGAGGUGGUUGAGUUGCCAGGCAACGCGGUUGGCGGGUUCCUUCGUGACGGGCGGUAACUGGACUGGAGGAGGCCUAGGUGCGUCUUUCCCAGCCUAGGUGAGCGACUCCGGUGCCUCCCUAAGGCCGCGACCGAAUGCGGCCGUUCAUGGCGGAAGCCGGGCCGGGCACUGGCGGACAGGCCUGCCGGGGCUGCGUCAUCGGGCCUGGCCACACGUCCCGGCUCUCCUGGCCCCGCCGCCCACGUGGGAGGGCAGGUCCAGACCCGGCCCGGCGGCUCCGGCCUCUGGCUCUCGUUUAUUUCCCUCAAGAAAAAGAAGAAAACCCUUUUAGGUUAAAAGUUGGUAAAGCGCUCUCGUCUGAGUGAUCGAUCCCACCUGGGUUUGGGGUUCGCUGACUCCUCACCCCACUUAAGCCCUUGGGCCUGGCCCCGGGGAAGGUUUGUGGAAUGGCCACGAGGACGGGAAUCGGCUCGCUGGACAAACGUUUUGUGAGCCGGUGCGUGCGCGGCACGGAGCCAGCGGGGAGCGAGAAGCAGGUAAAUCAGAGGAACAGGCACCAGGAGCCAGAAUACACAGGAAAUCACGGCCGGGAUGCAGAAGCAGAACCGGAAGUCCAGCAUGUGGUGCAUUUAACAGUAGAGAAUACCUUAUUUCCCAAAUCACCUAACGUUUACUCAUGCUCACAUUAUAGUAAGAUAUGUUGUUUUUUUAAAUAAACAUUGGCGAUUUGCUCCUGAAA